UACAGAGGUCUCAAGCGUUGUUCGGAUUCAUUGGGCGUAAAGGGUGCGUAGGUGGCGCUGUAAGUCGGGUGUGAAAUCUCGGGGCUUAACUCCGAAACUGCAUUCGAUACUGCCGUGCUUGAGGACUGGAGAGGAGACUGGAAUUUACGGUGUAGCGGUGAAAUGCGUAGAUAUCGUAAGGAAGACCGGUGGCGAAGGCGGGUCUCUGGACAGUUCCUGACGCUGAGGCACGAAGGCCAGGGGAGCAAACGGG
rnacentral:rRNA from 1 species